ACUCCUACGGGAGGCAGCAGUGGGGAAUUUUGGACAAUGGGGGGAACCCUGAUCCAGCCAUGCCGCGUGCAGGAUGAAGGCCUUCGGGUUGUAAACUGCUUUUGUACGGAACGAAAAGGUCUUUUCUAAUAAAGAAGGCUGAUGACGGUACCGUAAGAAUAAGCACCGGCUAACUACGUGCCAGCAGCCGCGGUAAUACGUAGGGUGCGAGCGUUAAUCGGAAUUACUGGGCGUAAAGCGUGCGCAGGCGGUUAUGCAAGACAGAUGUGAAAUCCCCGGGCUCAACCUGGGAACUGCAUUAGUGACUGCAUAGCUAGAGUGCGGCAGAGGGGGAUGGAAUUCCGCGUGUAGCAGUGAAAUGCGUAGAUAUGCGGAGGAACACCGAUGGCGAAGGCAAUCCCCUGGGCCUGCACUGACGCUCAUGCACGAAAGCGUGGGGAGCAAACAGGAUUAGAUACCCUGGUAGUCCACGCCCUAAACGAUGUCAACUGGUUGUUGGGGAUUUACUUCCUCAGUAACGAAGCUAACGCGUGAAGUUGACCGCCUGGGGAGUACGGCCGCAAGGUUAAAACUCAAAGGAAUUGACGGGGACCCGCACAAGCGGUGGAUGAUGUGGUUUAAUUCGAUGCAACGCGAACAACCUUACCUACUCUUGACAUCCAUAUAACUUAGCAGAGAUGCUUUGGUGCCUUCGGGAACUCUGAUACAGGUGCUGCAU
rnacentral:rRNA from 1 species